rnacentral:rRNA from 1 species
UACGUAGGUGGCAAGCGUUGUCCGGAUUUACUGGGUGUAAAGGGCGCGUAGGCGGGAAUGCAAGUCAGAUGUGAAAUCUCCGGGCUUAACUCGGAAAUUGCAUUUGAAACUGUGUUUCUUGAGUAUCGGAGAGGCAAGCGGAAUUCCUAGUGUAGCGGUGAAAUGCGUAGAUAUUAGGAGGAACACCAGUGGCGAAGGCGGCUUGCUGGACGACAACUGACGCUGAGGCGCGAAAGCGUGGGGAGCAAAC